rnacentral:rRNA from 1 species
UACGUAGGGGGCAAGCAUUGUCCGGAUUUAUUGGGCGUAAAGCGCGUGUAGGCGGCCAGAUAGGUCUGCUGUGAAAACUCGAGGCUCAACCUCGAGCUGUCGGCGGAAACCAUCUGGCUAGAGUCCGGAAGAGGAGAGUGGAAUUCCUGGUGUAGCGGUGAAAUGCGCAGAUAUCAGGAAGAACACCUAUGGCGAAGGCAGCUCUCUGGGACGGUACUGACGCUGAGACGCGAAAGCGUGGGGAGCGAACAGG